rnacentral:rRNA from 1 species
AAUAGAUACCCAGGUAGUCCCAGCUGUAAACGAUGCGCGUUAGGUGUAUCGGUGACCACGAGUCACCGAGGUGCCGAAGGGAAACCGUGAAACGUGCCGCCUGGGAAGUACGGUCGCAAGGCUGAAACUUAAAGGAAUUGGCGGGGGAGCACCACAACAGGUGGAGCCUGCGGUUUAAUCGGACUCAACGCCGGGAAGCUCACCGGGUAAGACAGCUGAAUGAUAGCCGGGUUGAAGACUCUGCUUGACUAGCUGAGAGGAGGUGCAUGGCCGUCGUCAGUUCGUACUGUGAAGCAUCCUGUUAAGUCAGGCAACGAGCGAGACCCACGCCAACAGUUGCCAGCAUGUCCUCCGGGAUGGUGGGGACACUGUUGGGACCGCCUCUGCUAAAGAGGAGGAAGGAAUGGGCAACGGUAGGUCAGCAUGCCCCGAAUUAUCCGGGCUACACGCGGGCUACAAUGGUCAGGACAAUGGGUAUCAACACCGAAAGGUGAAGGCAAUCUCCUAAACCUGUCCUUAGUUCGGAUUGUGGGCUGCUAACCG